AUCCAGAUAACCAGUCCCAAAUAGGACGAAAUGCCCAUCCUGGAU
rnacentral:hammerhead_ribozyme from 1 species